AAGUGUUGGUUGCUUAAAACAGCAGGACGGUAAUCAUGGAAGUCGAAAUCCGCUAAAGAGUGUGUAACAACUCACCUGCCGAAGCAACUAGCCCUUAAAAUGGAUGGCGCUUAA
rnacentral:ncRNA from 1 species